AACGAACGCUGGCGGCAUGCCUAACACAUGCAAGUCGAACGAGACCUUCAGGCCUAGUGGCGCACGGGUGCGUCACGCGUGGGAACCUGCCCUUAGGUUCGGAAUAACUCCCCGACAGGGGUGCUAAUACCGGAUAAUGUUUUCGGCCCAAAGAUUUAUCGCCUUUGGCUGGGCCCGCGUUGGAUUAGCUAGUUGGUAGGGUAAAAGCCUACCAAGGCGACGAUCCAUAGCUGGUCUGAGAGGAUGACCAGCCACACUGGGACUGAGACACGGCCCAGACUCCUACGGGAGGCAGCAGUGGGGAAUAUUGGACAAUGGGCGAAAGCCUGAUCCAGCAAUGCCGCGUGAGUGAUGAAGGCCUUAGGGUUGUAAAGCUCUAUUACCCGGGAUGAUAAUGACAGUACCGGGAGAAGAAGCCCCGGCUAACUCCGUG
rnacentral:rRNA from 1 species